CCUUGUUUGUAGUUUUUACCGGGUGUCGGUGGUUAUAAGUUUGCUGGAAGCUCGCUUAUGCUAAUAUCUCUGCUAUACAUAUCGUAUAAAUAUUGAAACAGUAUAAUUAAUAGGAUUGCGAGAAUCGUCUGAUGUCAGUUACCGAUACCUGCUGAACUCAAGUUUGUUAUAAAUACUGAUUGUGAGACAGGGGAAUCGAAUCGUAACCCUGGGACACGGUGACCGAUUGCAGCGAUCGAGUGCUCAAUGGACUCAGACAGUUCUGCACGGGGAAAAACGAAAGACGGUGGAACGUGCGAGGAGAUACUGUCUUCCAAAAGAAAUUAGUAAGACAAAAGGAACAAUUCUACUUUCAAACGAUCUCUACUAGAGAAAACAACGACCUGGACUCAGCGUAAUUGCAUUCUUCCCUGGCGACUCGGUGCUGGAAAAUCGAGACUUGGCCAGUGAGGCGAGAUGAGACUCGAUUGUCUGGUCCAAGGUGCGCGGAUUGGACGACUUUCUCCGAUAGUUCGAACAGUACCGGUACCAGGAAAUCGCCUCAGGAGUGGAAAGGAAACCACCGAGCGGAUACCAUUGGAGGAGCAGGAGGUGACGAGACCGAAAUCGGCGACGGUGGAACCAUGAAGCUGGCGCGUGACUCUUGAACCGUGCGUGAAAACUACGAGAUAAGGCGGAAAGCGGCACGGCGUCGGCCGGUUGGAAAGCUGCAAUUUCGUCGCAGCGCCUCAAGAAAAAGAGACGAGAGAGGAAAACGAACAAGAUACGAGUCUGAGCCGCGCUUAUGGCACGUCUGCGGCGAGCCAAGAUUGCGUUUUCCGGCUGUGAAAAUUUCCAGAAACCCACAACAAAACCCCGACACCCUGUGAAAGAGGAUCAGCUUGGAAGGUUUAGCUAAUAUUAAAUUAUAAUUUACCACUGCAACCAGAUAUAUUAACUAUUAUUUCGUAACGUCGAUUUUAUCCUAUUUGCAUAUUACACGGUAUUAAUUACUGUUGCAAAUAUGGUAGUUGUCGUACCGUGGAAUCGUACUAACCGAUAUGUAUUAUUUUGCUCUACGAACACCAGCAUUGCAAGUUUGCUCGGUAAAUGUACAACUUCGGGGUCAUUCAUUUUGCGCUGAGUUCCUAACUCCUGUCUUUCGGCUUUUUGUAAGCGGUUAGUAUAGGUCGCGUAGGUGAUGUGUCAAGAUUAAUAUCGCAGGAUUUUAGACCAACAUAUGGCAAACGUGUUUUCUGCCAUCUCGUUUAAAGGCCAACUUUUCUAGAGCUAUCCAAUUUUAGUCGUUGAAAUGGUCUUGGUGGAUUAAGAGUACGUCGGAACACGGUGGAGUAAUCUCGCGUUACUUCAGGACCGAUUCCCUGCAAAUUUAACUCUUAACUCUCGUCUUAGAGACAUGUGCAGCGUAUAAUAAAGUUUUUAGUACUAUAUUAGUACUAUAGUUAGUACAUUUAAUAUUAGUAGUAGUAUACGUAUAAUCAAGA